rnacentral:lncRNA from 1 species
CCUGGGCUGAUGCGCCCUGAAAGCUAGCGGCUCUGAGGUGUGCGGAGCCCUGGCUGCUCGCCUGGCCUCCCCCAGCUCAGGACAACUGCCCAGCCUGCCUGGCCUCCCGUCCGUCCUGUUCUUCAUGACUUCAUCCACCCUCCCUCUGCUCUGCAGACACCAGGAGGAGUGGGAGUCGAGGCCACGGGUAUCGACCCUCUCCAGACCAUGCCUGCCCCUGACCGGCUAUUCUUGGCAAAUUCCGUCCUGGGGAGUGACCUGCCAGGCGUCUGCUUUGACGUAUCAGCGGGUGUGUGCUCAGGGAGCAGAACUCACUGUGGCCUGAGCUGGAGCAAAGAGCAGUUAGGAGGUCAAGUGCGCACAAGGACAACUGCACAAGCUGGGGGCCGAGCGCACACCGGCUCCCCUCCACCAGCAUUUCCCUGCUUUCUUGAACAGCAGCGUUUGAGUUCUGAGUCCCCGAAGCACAGACGGGAAGCCGCAUCCCCAUGUGGCCCAUUACCAGGACCAUCUUUUGUUAAAGUCCCUGUUCUUCCCGCAUCCGUGGUUGCGGCCAGCCAGAUCCGGCAGCAGCGCCCUCCCCCAUAGCUUGUGGUCGGACCUCACUCGCCCACGACAAAGAGGUUCACCCUGCAUUUCCUCCUCGAAAAUGAUUUGUGCAGCAAUUUUCAUCUUCUGGGAAAAUGUGAGGGGAAGAAAGAAGAGCCCCGGACUGGGAGUUCUUGGUAAUUAAUUGAGAAUGGAGACACGGAGCUCCAUUCAGCCGGUAAUUGGAUUUAAACCCCACGGGAGUUGCUUUAAAUGCAGAUACUAAUGUGUGAGCCAUCUUCCCUGCAAUGGAUCUCCCUGUCAGAUCUAAGGAUGGUUGGGAUCCAGAAAGAAAACGCCCUGAAGUGAGGUGAGCUCCCCAGAACAAGUCGGAGCCGUGAGGGAUGCCUGCGCAGUACUCCUAUCAGAUGUCCCCCAGGUCCUGGCGAGGAGUGGCGAGUCCGGGUCACUAAGAGCUGCCCAACGGGGCCCUGGGGUCAGGGAUGGACCGCCCAUCUUCUCAGGUCUGCAGGUUAUUGGGGGUGUGCCUUGGCGGGACCGCAGGGCCCUGGUCUCGUCUCUUUGUCUCUUCCUGGCCAUGAAGUGACCGGGUUUGCCCACCACACACUCCUGAUGCCUGACCAUAGACCCAGAGCCGCAAGGCCAACCAGUUAUGGACCCGAUACCCAGAGCUGUGAGCCCAAAUAAGCUUUUUGUGUCUGCAAGUUGCUUAUCUCAGUAUCUGUUAGAGUAACAGAAACAUGACCAGCAGCCCCUAAUAUAAUAGUGCAGUUGUCCCCCGUAUCCAUGGGGGAUUGGUUCCAGAACCCCCGGGGACACCAAAAUUCAAGGAAGUUCAAGUCCGUCACAGGAAAUGGCACAACAUUUUCAUGUCACCUGUGCACAUCUCCCAUCGGCUCCGAGUCAUGCCUAGAUGGCGUGGGACACCGGAUUCCAUGCUAGCGCUCUAGGAACAGCCGUUACACCUUGUGGUCUAGGUAACGGUCACAAGAGAAAUGCCCAUGCAUGUUCAGUACAGAUGUCAUUUUAAAAGACGCUUUCCACCUGAGGUUGGUUGAAUACUUGGACACAGGACCCACACAUGGGCCACCUGGAUUUUAUUACCUUAUUAUGUUUUUAGUUGCCUAGGGACGGGGACAGCCUACUGCCCUUUCCCAGGAUACCUGACUGUUGGGAAGGGGAUGGGGACGACAUGCAAGUCCCACCCUCUUGGUCUCUUAGGUGGGCUGCCCAAAGGAUGGAGGCCCUUCUGCAGCCCCAGCCUCCAGGUGGUGAGCACACUGGGUCCACUCCUGGUCCUCCCUUUAGGGACAGGUCAGGUGACGGUCAUUGAGGAGCGCCUUUUUGCCUGAUCAGGGCGGCGGCUCUGGUGGCAGACGGGCCACCGUGCCCUGGCGGGGGCUGGGCUGCGUCUGCUCACAGUCACUCUGCUCUGGACUCAAGGGAGACUCAGGAAUAGAAGCCCCGGGGUCCUACAGGGCACAGCGUCCAGGGCGGUACCAGGGGCAAGUGCCCUUAGCUGUUUUGUGGAGGUGGGAAUCACGUAGAUAGCACAGCCUCCGAGAGAACUUGCCACCAACCAUCACCCACCUGAAGUCUUCCAGGUACACUGCUGGGUGUCUGUGAGGGAUGUUGGCAGGGCAAGGUCACAGUCCCUGUUUUACUUCCUGUUGAUUGACAGCAGGACCUGCCUUCCAGGAGCACUCCUCCAGGAGAAUGUUCUAGAAGGUUCCUGACAGGAUGCUGGCUGUCCUCCUGGACUCUGCUCCCUUACAGCCACCAGGACACUGUGCUAAUCCAAUGGAUCUCUGACCUGAGUUUGUGGCUAAGUUUCGUGUUCCCAAGUCACAUGCCAGCGGUUUACCUCGGAGCUCCGAUCCCUGCCGUCUACAGACUCUGCUCCCCACACUCCCCACCCUGUGGCUGCCAGAUGUCCCGGGGCACGGGGGGGGGGCAGGGUGGGAGGUGGCGGGGGUGGGAGUGGGAUUCAGGUGUCUGCCUGCUCCGUGCCCCAGCCAGAGCCCCUCUGUGGUGAGACCACCAGUCCCGGUGGGGAGGCCGCUUCCUGCCGUGGCCUGCUGCAGGGUGGCUAGCGCUGUCACCGCCGUCUUCCCAUGCUGAGUCUCUCCUCGGCUGACCUGGGCCGAGCACGGCUGCCCCGGCCUGCCCUGGCCAUUGCAGACGUUCAUGGUCCACAGAGAUGAGGACCUGCUCGGCUUGGCCGGGUCACUGACCCCCUGGACAAGAGUCAGAUCUGUAUUUGAUUGAUCCUCUUGUUCCCAUUUAGCCCUUAAAGAUAAAUAUUUCCCUCUUAGGAGGAAAUAAGAUCGUGUGGCUGAGGAUGUGUUCUGUCUAUGGGCCUCUGGAGGGAGGCAGAGGAGGGGCCGACCUGAGCCAAUAAUUUAAAUCUGCUAGAGACAUUGUCCCCGUGCCCAGAGCUCAGGCUCCCCCGUAUGGGCUUGGAGCAUCCCUGGUGGACUGCAGCCGUCCCCUCCCCCUUGGGACCUUCAUGGACACCUCUCCUGCUCCACGGGUGCUGCAGUGCGGGUGGGAGGGAGACUGUCAGUCCCUCCCACUUUGGAAAAGGCGUGGAGAUGCGUGGGUGCUUCUCAGAGGGCUUGAUGUGCCUACACGAUCCUAGGACACGGCUUCGUCACAGGGCAGGACUGCCACGGUGUCACUCAGUAACAAGAGUCAUGACGAGACGUGAGCUACGCGGAAGGGCAUGAACAUCUUCAGGAGGCCUGGGAUCCUCUCGUGGAGGUGGCAGACCAGUGACACCAGCCCUGUAGCACCAGCCUGGCACAUGUCCUCUCCCUUUCCACACAGAGCCUCCUCUUGAGCUGGCACAGUGGCUCACACCUGUGAUCCCAGCCACUUGGGAGGCUGAGGCAGGAGGAUCACAAAUUUGAGGCUGGUCUCAGCAACCCAGGACCUCAACAACUUAGUGGGACUCUUAAAAUUAAAAAUAAUCACAUUCUGCAAUCUGCAUACGGGGUAAAAAUGGGAGUUCAUAACCCACUUGAAUCAAAUGUAUGAAAUAUGAUAUGUCAAGAGCUUUGUUAUAGUUAAAGCUUUGUCCCAGGGUUUCAUAAACUGACUUCCAGACCACUCACGUAUAAUCGAAUCAAGCCUUUAUUGAAGCACACCGGUGGCGGCUGACCAGAACAUAAAGCUGUUCCCCUGAUCAGCCCCGAACAAUUGCAAGAGCACUCCUUAUAAGCCUGAAAACCGCAAAAGGGAUGUUCAGGGGGUCUAGCCAGUGCAAGCCAACCAGGUUACAGAAGCGGGACAGCGCAGUCAAGCGGAGGGAAGCCUAACCAAUCACAGUUAGCCCAGUCACCCCAGUUACAGAAACAGAGCCCCGUUACCCUAGUUACAGAAACUAUGCCCCAUUAGGUAGUUCCAGUUCUUAAAGGUUUCUAUAGCAAAAGGAAAAGAACAUCUUGCCCCAGUCAUGACUCUUCUACUUGUCCUGGUUGUUUUACAGGAUGAAGUCAUAAAACAAAAUGGAGUCACAUUUGCUCCUACUAUCACAGCUUUGUAAUGUUUUGAACAACCAAUAAUAAAAAAAAAAUUAAAAAUAAUAACAAUUAAAGUGUAGCUCAGUGGUGGAGCAAACCUGGGUUCAAUCCUCAGUGCCAAAAAAACCCCACAAAAAAAACCCAAAGGUCAAACAACACCCCCACCCUCAACGAAGCCUCUGCCUGUCCCCAGAGCCAGCAGAACACAGGCCCAUUUUAGUUACCAGCUUUUGACCUGGCCUUCGUCGGGGUCUUAUGGCGCAGACCAAGGGGCUGGUCAGGGAACUGUGCCCCUCCCUGCCACUCAGGGGUCCAAAUGGACCCAAGCCCUCAGCUGCCCCAUGUGUCCACCCUGCCCUCGUCUUCCCGGGGGGCAGCAGUGGCCGCCAGGCUCCACCUCACACUAGUUCACUGCUGAAGGGGCUCGGGACCCACUUGCACCAUCCUAGUGAAUUCAGGAAACGGGAACAGGUGUGGCAAAGCUCCCUCCUCGCCCCAGCCCAGACACGGCGAGUGGGACCUCUUGUGUCCACUGACUCCAGGGGUGUGGUCUCUUCCUAAAGCCUGUUGACGUAACACCGAGGGUGCUCGGUACUUAGUCCAAUGUCUAACUUUGAAAACUGAACACUCCACGGACAGCUGAUGGGCUGAAGAUCCGUAUUUAUUACGGGGGCAGGGGCAUCCUUCCUCUUGAGAUUCCUAGGGUUCCAUCACCAGCGGGCGUUGAAUUUCAUUGUGUAUUUUUAGCAGCUGUGAAAGUGAGCAGAUGGUCUUUCCAGCGGCCUGACCUAUCGACGGGGGGUUGUUACUGGAAGCUUCUCUCCGGCUCCUCUUAGGGAGGAGCCGCAGAGGUGUGUGUUGUGUGGUGGAUAGGGAUGAAGGAAGGUUUCUGGAUGACUUAAGGGUAGUGACCCUUGUUCUCUGCUCUUCCCCAAGUUCAAGUCUUCGGGAGCCCAGGCUGGAGACCAAGGUGAAGCUGAGGAACUCGCCUGAGUCGGGACCUGGGACCUGGGGACCUCAUCCUGCCACCCUGGCCUGACGCCUCUGGACAACUGAGCCAGGACGCUGCUGGACAACACCCCCCCCCAGGAGGCCCAGGGAGCAGGGUGACUUGGCUGCUCUGCUGUCAAGGGCAGGACAUGAGCAGGCACUGCCUCUGGCCUCUGGCCUCUGGGGCUUUCUUGGGUCCCUGCUAAUCACACAGUAAGCAGCGUCCUGGGGAGAAGGUGGUGGAUAGAAGCCCCGAAUGUCCGCAGACCUGGAGGGACGUCAGGUCCCAAGGGGAAGGCUGGGGGGCUUGAAUAGGGGUCUUCCCCCCAAGGUCCCCGUGUUAGAGGCUUGGUGCCCUGAGGGAUGCUAUUGGGAGUGCUGGGGACCUGGGGG